GAUGAACGCUGGCGGCGUGCCUAAUACAUGCAAGUCGAGCGAACAGAUGAGGAGCUUGCUCCUCUGACGUUUGCGGCGGACGGGUGAGUCACACGUGGAUAACCUACCUAUCUGUCUGGGAUAAUUUCGGGAAACCGGAGCUAAUCCCGGAUAAUCUAUUGAACCGCAUUGUUCAAUAGUGAAAGACGGUUUUGCUGUCUCUUCUAGAUGGUUCCGAGCCGCAUUAGCUAGUUGGUAAGUUAACGGCUUACCAAGGAAACGAUGCGUUGCCGACUUGCUAGACGGAUCGGCCGCACGGGAGCUUGAACGCGGUCCAGGGGCCUACGAGAGGCAGCAGUAGGGUAUCUGCCGCAGUGGUCGAGAGCCUGGCAGAGCAACGGCGCGUGAGUGAUGGAGGUCUUCGGAUCGUAAAACUCGGUUAUUAGGUAAAAACAGAUUUGUAAGUAACUAUGCACGGCGUGACGGUACCGAGUCAGAAAGCCACGGCUAACUACGUG
rnacentral:rRNA from 1 species